rnacentral:misc_RNA from 1 species
GUGAAUCAUCGAAUUUUUGAACGCACAUUGCACUCUCUGGUAUUCCGGAGAGUAUGCCUAUUUGAGGGUCAUUUGAAAUAAUAUAAAUUUCGUGAUUUUCUUGGAAUCAAAAAUGGGACGGUCCAGCUUUUGGGUGGUGGUCGCCUAAAAUGCAAGACAAGCUCAUUUAUUGGGUCGCGUGAUACUUUCAGUUACUUCGUGUCUUUACAAGGAAUCUUCGCGCGUGUU